GCAGCCUUUUUCUGUCAUGGACCAUGAUGUGGACUAGACAUGAUGAAAUUCACUGAAAUUCAUUCUGCUGGGAUGCGAAUAACAGACUCACUUCUUCAAAGGGCAUUAAUUCUUACGCUGAAAAAGUAGUAACGUUGAUUGUACUUUGUAAUUGGGUUAAAGCGGUUUAUAACCUGUUAAUAAGUAACUAGCUAGCUAAGGUACUUAACACCAAGGAGCAAAAGAGGAUUUAUGAACGAUGAGGCCUAGGCAUAGAGGAUCCAAUCUUGGCUUGUUGUUGCUGGCCUCUCAGCUGUUUCAAGUGGGUUUUGAUAACAUCCCCCCUGUGACUCUGGCUGUUUUGGGACUGAAUGUUUAUCUUUAUUUAUUUCCUGCAGCUCCACUGAUGAUGGUCUGUGUAAGUGUAGAGCAGGC